rnacentral:lncRNA from 1 species
AAUUGUAAGAAUUCUUAGCUCAUUCAGAAGUAACUUUUAUUGGUCACUUGCUUGUUUAAUAAUCAAAAGCAUAACGUCAGCACAAAAGCACAGAAAGCUACUCUGGUAAGACACAGAGUCUCUGCCACUCGAGAUUACAUAGAAGGACAUCGCACUGGCCCGCUGUAUGGAGAAUACUGGCUGAGAGGAGCUGCAGAGCCAGAGGAUGCAUUGGUAAUUGUAAUAUUUCAACUUUGUCAACUUUGGUGACAGAGAAAGAAAAACCCAGGGAAACAUUCUACAAUCGUCUUUCUGAAACUGGAGAUGACACCGCAGUAGGAUGACUCUUUGUUACGGUAUUAAACAGAGACUGCCAAGCUUCACCCUCUUCUUCCUCGUUGCUGCUGGCAGCGUGGACGUGAGCCAGGGAGGUGCAGAAGGUCUCUUGUAAUCAUGAGGCGACAAGGACAAACACCUCUGUGCAGGAGGAUGCAAAGUGGAAAGACGGAGUGAGCCUGGAUCCCUGAGAGGUCACUGCGCCGCCGUGCCGGGCCUGGACCACCCGCCUGGACUCGCAGAGCCCUCGAUGUACACUUCUCUCUAGUGUGUGAGGCAGCCGUCAUGAGGGUGUAGGUUUCACUUUCUGAGGAAUGAGAAUUAUGUUUCCAAACAGAAAGAAAGCAAUGAUGUUUGUCCCUUUGACUCAAGUUAGAACACUUCCAAAACCAACACACUCAGGAGCAACACCGUCUACUCUAAACCUAAUCCACAUCAAGAGAGAGGAGAAAACCAAACUUUAUCUUUAUGCCAAAAGGUUCAAGAAUGUUUGAGAGAAUCAUACCUGUCUUAGAUUGAGUCUCAGCCCAUCGCCCUCCCCUCCUCCCAACACACACACACACACAUGAACAUACACGCUCACACACGUGUGCAUGCAGACACACAUAUGCACAGAUACACACGAGCACACACACGCACACGCACACGGACACGCACAAACACGCA